CAGCCGCCGCGGUAAUACGAAGGGUGCAAGCGUUACUCGGAAUUACUGGGCGUAAAGCGUGCGUAGGUGGUGGUUUAAGUCCGUUGUGAAAGCCCUGGGCUCAACCUGGGAAUUGCAGUGGAUACUGGGCCACUAGAGUGUGGUAGAGGAUAGUGGAAUUUCCGGUGUAGCAGUGAAAUGCGUAGAGAUCGGAAGGAACAUCUGUGGCGAAGGCGACUAUCUGGGCCAACACUGACACUGAGGCACGAAAGCGUGGGGAGCAAACAGGAUUAGAUACCCCUGUAGUCCCUGUCUCUUAUAC
rnacentral:rRNA from 1 species